GCAAAUAUAGCUUGUGCAAUCAUCACCCCUCUAUUCUUAUCAUGACCAGUAUACAAGAUCCAUGAUGAAUUACAGAGUUCAAUCCUGAUUAAUGGUGCUAAGUAAGAUUCGAGUUUGAACCCUAGAAUGCGUAUUCUUUAAUUCUACAUAAUGUUGUCAUGGAAGAAGGUACAGUGAUCAGCUUUUUUACUUCUUUGUAGUUAGCUGUGAGGUGUAAGGUUGCCCUAAUGAACCAGGAGAUGGAAAGGGACUUUAACCUCUACUACUCUUGAGUAAACCUUAUAGCUCCUUCUGACUAAAGUAGUAGUAGAAAGGGUUAUAAUUUGAAAAGUUUGAAUCCCAAAAGCAAAAAAAUUUCUACCAAUAAAUUAUAUUCACGCUUCAUCUGCAGUUGACUUAAUUGCACUUGCAUUAUCAUGAAAUUAGAGGAAAUGAGGUUAUGUUUUGCCCUGGAUGAGAUGUUGUGGAUCUCUGUGACAAUUAAUAUAGUAUGGAUGGGCAGCAUGCAUUGAGUAAAGUAAACAUGAUUUACUCCGCCUCUUGGAAAACGUGAUGUCAAGUAGUUAGGCCUUUUUUUGUGGAGGCCAAUUGUGAAUUUGUCCGUCUCGGCACCAUCUUAGGCUAGGGCCGUGGUAGUGCUUGGAGGGGGGCCUCCCCAGGAUUCGAUUCCUGGUCCCUGGUACCAGGAGCCAUCCCCAAGACCCCUUAUCCAAGGGACCAGGGAUCGAAUCCUGGGGAGGCCCCCCUCCAAGCACUACACGGCCCUAGCCUAAGACGGUGCCGAGGCGGAUAAAUUCACAAUUGGCCUCCACAAAAAAAGGCCCCAAGACCCCUUAUCCAAGGGACCAGGGAUCGAAUCCUGGGGAGGC
rnacentral:lncRNA from 1 species